UGAAGAGCUUGCUCUUUAACCAGUGAGUGGCGGACGGGUGAGUAACACGUGGGUAACCUGCCCAUUAGAGGGGGAUAACAUUCGGAAACGGAUGCUAAUACCGCAUAGUUUCAGGAAUCGCAUGAUUCUUGAAGGAAAGGUGGCUUCGGCUACCACUAAUGGAUGGACCCGCGGCGUAUUAGCUAGUUGGUGAGGUAAUGGCUCACCAAGGCAAUGAUACGUAGCCGACCUGAGAGGGUGAUCGGCCACACUGGGACUGAGACACGGCCCAGACUCCUACGGGAGGCAGCAGUAGGGAAUCUUCCGCAAUGGACGAAAGUCUGACGGAGCAACGCCGCGUGAGUGAAGAAGGUUUUCGGAUCGUAAAACUCUGUUGUUAAAGAAGAACAAGGAUGAGAGUAACUGCUCAUCCCCUGACGGUAUUUAACCAGAAAGCCACGGCUAACUACGUGCCAGCAGCCGCGGUAAUACGUAGGUGGCAAGCGUUGUCCGGAUUUAUUGGGCGUAAAGCGAGCGCAGGCGGUUCUUUAAGUCUGAUGUGAAAGCCCCCGGCUCAACCGGGGAGGGUCAUUGGAAACUGGAGAACUUGAGUGCAGAAGAGGAGAGUGGAAUUCCACGUGUAGCGGUGAAAUGCGUAGAUAUGUGGAGGAACACCAGUGGCGAAGGCGACUCUCUGGUCUGUAACUGACGCUGAGGCUCGAAAGCGUGGGGAGCAA
rnacentral:rRNA from 1 species